AGCUCCAAUAGCGUAUAUUAAAGUUGUUGCAGUUAAAACGCUCGUAGUCGAAUUUCUGAUGCUGGGCGGUGGUCGCCUUCGCGGGCGCACUGCUGAUCCGGUGUCUUUUUUCUGGGUAGGGCGUGGUGCUUUGUUGUGCUGCGUUUCGAGCCAGGACAUUUACUGUGAACAAAUUAGAGUGUUUAAGGCAGGCGAUUGCUUGAAUACAUUAGCAUGGAAUAAUAGGAUAGGACGUUGGUUCUGUUUUGUUGGUUUCAGGAGCCGAGGUAAUGAUGAAUAGGGACAGUUGGGGGCAUUGGUAUUUCAGUGUCAGAGGUGAAAUUCUUGGAUUACUGAAAGACCAACUUCUGCGAAAGCAUCUGCCAAGGAUGUUUUCAUUGAUCAAGAACGAAAGUACGCA
rnacentral:rRNA from 1 species